UACGUAGGGGGCAAGCGUUGUCCGGAUUUAUUGGGCGUAAAGCGCGUGUAGGCGGCCACGCAGGUCCGCUGUGAAAACUCGAGGCUCAACCUCGAGCUGUCGGUGGAAACCGCGUGGCUAGAGUCCGGAAGAGGGGACUGGAAUUCCCGGUGUAGCGGUGGAAUGCGCAGAUAUCGGGAGGAACACCCGUGGCGAAGGCGGGUCCCUGGGACGGUACUGACGCUGAGACGCGAAAGCGUGGGGAGCGAACAGGAUUGAGAUACC
rnacentral:rRNA from 1 species